GUCAGUCUCAGCCAGGUCACACACUGACAUGAAGGCCCUCACGCAGAUCCUUAGGUUGCUGCUGCUUUGGCUUAUAGGUGUCAGAUGUGACAUCCAGAUGACCCAGUCUCCAGCCUCCCUGUCUUCAUCUCUGGGAGAAAGUGUCACCAUUACAUGCCAAGCAAGUCAGAGUAUUGGUAAUUGGUUGGCAUGGUAUCAGCAGAAACCAGGGAAAUCUCCUAAGCUCAUGAUCUAUGCUGCAACCAGCUUGGCAGGUGGGGUCCCUUCAAGGUUCAGUGGCAGUGGGUCUGGUACACAGUUUUCGAUCAAGAUCAGCAGCCUGCAGGCUGAAGACGUUGCAAAUUAUUACUGUCAACAAUAUUCAAGUACUCCUCCCACAGUGAUUCAACCCAUGUCAUAAACCUUGGAGGAAAGC